GAUGUUCAUUCCACCAUAUUCUUAGAUUGAAUCAAUCCAGAGAAGAUUACCACUUUCACUGCGCAGGAACGACUCGCAAUUUCAUGAGUCGUUCCAAAAAAUU
rnacentral:snRNA from 1 species